rnacentral:rRNA from 1 species
GAAGGUGUGCUGUGAGGCAUGCUGGAGGUAUCAGAAGUGCGAAUGCUGACAUAAGUAACGAUAAAGCGGGUGAAAAGCCCGCUCGCCGGAAGACCAAGGGUUCCUGUCCAACGUUAAUCGGGGCAGGGUGAGUCGACCCCUAAGGCGAGGCCGAAAGGCGUAGUCGAUGGGAAACAGGUUAAUAUUCCUGUACUUGGUGUUACUGCGAAGGGGGGACGGAGAAGGCUAUGUUGGCCGGGCGACGGUUGUCCCGGUUUAAGCGUGUAGGCUGGUUUUCCAGGCAAAUCCGGAAAAUCAAGGCUGAGGCGUGAUGACGAGGCACUACGGUGCUGAAGCAACAAAUGCCCUGCUUCCAGGAAAAGCCUCUAAGCAUCAGGUAACAUCAAAUCGUACCCCAAACCGACACAGGUGGUCAGGUAGAGAAUACCAAGGCGCUUGAGAGAACUCGGGUGAAGGAACUAGGCAAAAUGGUGCCGUAACUUCGGGAGAAGGCACGCUGAUAUGUAGGUGAAGUCCCUUGCGGAUGGAGCUGAAAUCAGUCGAAGAUACCAGCUGGCUGCAACUGUUUAUUAAAAACACAGCACUGUGCAAACACGAAAGUGGACGUAUACGGUGUGACGCCUGCCCGGUGCCGGAAGGUUAAUUGAUGGGGUUAGCCGCAAGGCGAAGCUCUUGAUCGAAGCCCCGGUAAACGGCGGCCGUAACUAUAACGGUCCUAAGGUAGCGAAAUUCCUUGUCGGGUAAGUUCCGACCUGCACGAAUGGCGUAAUGAUGGCCAGGCUGUCUCCACCCGAGACUCAGUGAAAUUGAACUCGCUGUGAAGAUGCAGUGUACCCGCGGCAAGACGGAAAGACCCCGUGAACCUUUACUAUAGCUUGACACUGAACAUUGAGCCUUGAUGUGUAGGAUAGGUGGGAGGCUUUGAAGUGUGGACGCCAGUCUGCAUGGAGCCGACCUUGAAAUACCACCCUUUAAUGUUUGAUGUUCUAACGUUGACCCGUAAUCCGGGUUGCGGACAGUGUCUGGUGGGUAGUUUGACUGGGGCGGUCUCCUCCUAAAGAGUAACGGAGGAGCACGAAGGUUGGCUAAUCCUGGUCGGACAUCAGGAGGUUAGUGCAAUGGCAUAAGCCAGCUUGACUGCGAGCGUGACGGCGCGAGCAGGUGCGAAAGCAGGUCAUAGUGAUCCGGUGGUUCUGAAUGGAAGGGCCAUCGCUCAACGGAUAAAAGGUACUCCGGGGAUAACAGGCUGAUACCGCCCAAGAGUUCAUAUCGACGGCGGUGUUUGGCACCUCGAUGUCGGCUCAUCACAUCCUGGGGCUGAAGUAGGUCCCAAGGGUAUGGCUGUUCGCCAUUUAAAGUGGUACGCGAGCUGGGUUUAGAACGUCGUGAGACAGUUCGGUCCCUAUCUGCCGUGGGCGCUGGAGAACUGAGGGGGGCUGCUCCUAGUACGAGAGGACCGGAGUGGACGCAUCACUGGUGUUCGGGUUGUCAUGCCAAUGGCACUGCCCGGUAGCUAAAUGCGGAAGAGAUAAGUGCUGAAAGCAUCUAAGCACGAAACUUGCCCCGAGAUGAGUUCUCCCUGACUCCUUAAGGGUUCUGAAGGAACGUUGAAGACGACGACGUUGAUAGGCCGGGUGUGUAAGCGCAGCGAUGCGUUGAGCUAACCGGUACUAAUGAACCGUGAGGCUUAACCUU